UGGGGAAUUUUGGACAAUGGGCGAAAGCCUGAUCCAGCAAUGCCGCGUGUGUGAAGAAGGCCUUCGGGUUGUAAAGCACUUUUGUCCGGAAAGAAAUCCUUGGCUCUAAUACAGUCGGGGGAUGACGGUACCGGAAGAAUAAGCACCGGCUAACUACGUGCCAGCAGCCGCGGUAAUACGUAGGGUGCAAGCGUUAAUCGGAAUUACUGGGCGUAAAGCGUGCGCAGGCGGUUUGCUAAGACCGAUGUGAAAUCCCCGGGCUCAACCUGGGAACUGCAUUGGUGACUGGCAGGCUAGAGUAUGGCAGAGGGGGGUAGAAUUCCACGUGUAGCAGUGAAAUGCGUAGAGAUGUGGAGGAAUACCGAUGGCGAAGGCAGCCCCCUGGGCCAAUACUGACGCUCAUGCACGAAAGCGUGGGGAGCAAACAGGAUUAGAUACCCUGGUAGUCCACGCCCUAAACGAUGUCAACUAGUUGUUGGGGAUUCAUUUCCUUAGUAACGUAGCUAACGCGUGAAGUUGACCGCCUGGGGAGUACGGUCGCAAGAUUAAAACUCAAAGGAAUUGACGGGGUCUAGCUGUUUCCU
rnacentral:rRNA from 1 species